rnacentral:lncRNA from 1 species
CUUGGAUACAAGACUGCAAGAAUCGUAUCCUUUUUCUAACCUACGACUUCCCAUGUAAGCUCUUGCAAUAUCAAUAGGUGAUGCUCCAACUUCAUCUUGUACCUGCAGUAGUGGACUAUUUGAUAAAUACAUCCUAGUAUCAACACCAAAACUCCGGAAGAAGACUGCAUCAAUGAGGGUAUUUCAUGAAAUAAUUAUUUACACUUGUUACUUCCAAGCUAUUCCAGACUUUAUUCGCUAAUGCACUUUUCACCUUUUAAGGCUUCAUUUGAGACCAUCUCUCGAGAUGAAGUUCAACAGGCUAAAGUACUAUUAUCAUGGACAUUUCACAAAACAAAUAUGUGCCAAUGACAGAAGGGUUUAUAGUGAUAAUUAACUUACAUUUGUUUGGGGAAAAGGUGUUGAUGUUCCUGGCAUAGCAAAAUUUGUUUGGGGAAGAGGUGUUGAAGCUCCUGGCAUAGGAAAAUUUGUUUGGGGAAGAGGUGUUGAAGCUUCUGGCAUAGCAAAAUUUGUUUGGGGAAGAGGAGUUGAAGUUCCUGGCAUAGCAAAAUUUGUUUGGGGAAGAGGUGUUGAAGUUCCUGGCAUAGCAAACUCUGCUUCAUCCUGCUUCCUGUGAUAUGGUCUUCUAGGUGUCUCGUGUGUUAAAUGAAACCUUCCAAUGUCUCCUUCAGCUGUUUUGCUAGUUUUCUUUUCUUGGUCAUCA